UACGUAGGUGGCAAGCGUUACUCGGAAUCACUAGGCGUAAAGCGCAGGUAGGUGGUUCGGUAAGUCUCUUGUGAAAGCUCCCGGCUCAACUGGGAGAGGUCAAGGGAAACUACCGGGCUAGAGUGUGGCAGAGGAAGCUGGAAUUCCCGGUGUAGCGGUGAAAUGCGUAGAGAUCGGGAGGAAUACCUAUGGCGAAAGCAGGCUUCUGGGCCGUCACUGACGCUGAUCUGCGAAAGCUAGGGGAGCAAACAGG
rnacentral:rRNA from 1 species